CCUCAAGAAUCCCACGCCAAUCAGACAUCAGUACUCACUGGAGUGGACCCAAAUGGCUCUGAAACCAGGCAAAUAACUCGUCCUUCUCCAACCCAAUCAAACCAAAAAAACUAGCUGAUGAAGUCGCCGGAAUGGACUCGAUGGAAAGUUGCAGAGCUGCUAACCACAGAAUCGGCACUGCAAGUGGGCGCCUUCUUCCAACUCUUUCUAACAAUACUGAAACAUCUGAGCAGAGCCCAUAAUGGGCAUCAUUGGCAUAGCCUGGUUCAUCAUAUACAUCUGGUUGUUAGGGUUCCAUUGAGCUUGAAUAGCAGUGUCAAACAACAACCCAUCGCCGACAUCACCACCAAUGAAAUGCAGGAUCUCGUUCAGGGACUGCAGCCGGUUGCUGAGCUCCAUCAUCUGUGUUUCGAGCACAGAAUUCUCACCCUUCACUCCUACAUAGUGUUGCGUGGUCACGUUCAGCGCGGCAAGGAUCUCGCCGUUCUCCUUCCUCAGCUGCGCCACCUGUCCCAUCAGCUCGUCCAGGUGUUUCCUCUUCCUCAUCCGUGACCGCCGCGCCGACUCCCGGUUCGACAGCAUCCGCUUCCGCUUCCUCUGGUCCAUCACGG
rnacentral:misc_RNA from 1 species